CGCAUCUGUGCAUGCAGCAUAUCAAUAAGCGGAGGAAAAGAAACUAACAAGGAUUCCCCUAGUAACGGCGAGUGAAGCGGGAAGAGCUCAAAUUUGAAAUCUUAAAGGGUUUCCCUUUACGAAUUGUAGUUUAAAGAAGUGUUUUCUGUUGAGGUUUUGGUAAAAGUUCUUUGGAAUAGGACAUCAUAGAGGGUGAGAAUCCCGUAUUUGACCUUUACUUUCAACUUUGUGAUACACUUUCAAAGAGUCGGAUUGUUUGGGAAUGCAGUCCAAAAUGGGUGGUAAAUUUCAUCUAAAGCUAAAUAUUGGCGAGAGACCGAUAGCGAACAAGUACCGUGAGGGAAAGAUGAAAAGAACUUUGAAAAGAGAGUUAAACAGUACGUGAAAUUGUCAAAAGGGAAGCGUUUGACACCAGUGUUGUUUUCCUGAAAAUCAAUUAAAGAACUGUUUAUGCUAAGUUGUUUAGACUUUAUCAGCUAAUCUGUUUAGUUUUGAGCUUUUCUUUAAUGCACUUUUCAGUUAACAAGUCAACAUCAAUUUCUUUUGCUGUAAAAAAGCUUGAGGAAGGUGGCUUGAGAUUCGUCUUAAGUGUUUAUAGCCUCUUGCCUAUGCAGUCGGAGAGAUUGAGGUCUGCAGCGUAGAUCCUUCGGGGCUAAAUGCAUUUGUGCUAAGUUAUAGCAUUUUAUAGACAACUUGUUGACUAUGAUUUGUCUUGUAGCUUACUCGCUUAUGUUAUUUUACCUACGCUUAGGAUGUUGAAUCUGUGCGAGACUAC
rnacentral:rRNA from 1 species